UUCACUUAUAAAUGUAUAUAUCUUUAAACAUUUUUUCUCUCCUAUUCUAAGAAAUAAUAAUACGAUACUUAAAUAAACCUGCAAAAAUAUCCCAGUUGCUACUUUUAGGUCAGAUCUGACACAUCAACAAAUCAGUCAAAAAAGAACUUCCACCUUCUGCUCCGUCCUACUAUUUUUUAAAGCAACUCCUCAAACAUGAAUAAGCCCGAAACAUUUGAAGGCAUUGAUUUUGAAGCCAUUAAGGACGUAACAGGCCUAGAAACGGAUGAAAUCAAGGUUCUCAAGAUAUGUUUCAACAUGUUUGAUGUCAAAGAUCAAGCCUUCCUCUCAGCUGAUGAUUUGGAUGACAUUCUUCGUGGAAUGGGGUUUCGCCCAUCCAAAGAAGAACUCAAGGAAAUCCUGGAAGAAAUCGAUGAGGAUGGUUCUGGAGAAAUUGAGUUUGAAGAAUUUUGUCAACUUUGUGCCAAGUUUCUCAUUGAAGAGCCUGAUGAGGAAACCAUGAAAGCUGAAUUGAAAGAGGCUUUUCGGGUCUAUGACAAAGAGGCCAAUGGAUUCAUCACCACGGAUCAACUUCGAGAAAUUAUUUCUGAAUUAGAUCAGAGACUCACAGUAGAUGAUCUAGAUGGUAUCAUCGAAGAAAUUGAUGAAGACGGUUCUGGAACCAUGGAUUUUGAUGAGUUUUGUGCCAUGAUGAUGAGCUAAAAAUGUAUCAUCUAAUUACAUGGCACACUGGGUAGUCAAAUUCGAAAAUCUCUUCAGAUUAUCAUCUUCUUGAGUGAACGCAAACAAUACAUAUGAACUCAAUUUACCUUCUAGAUACAUAAAUGAAAACCUAUUACACUUUCUUCCCAAAUCUCGUAUUCUUCUUCACGACCUUUGGAAUCCUUAAAACAAAGAACCAAAACUGCUUAAAUUGCCAUUUAUAUACAUACAUGCAUUGAUUUACAGUUCAACUAUUUUAUCAUUCUCAUAAGUAUGAAUUAAUAACGAAAUACAUACAUAACAAUGAA
rnacentral:misc_RNA from 1 species